GAUGAACUCUGACAGAAUGCUUAACACAUGCAAGUCAACUGUGGCGGACGGGUGAGUAACGCGUAAAGAACUUGCCUCACAGAUAGGGACAACAUUUGGAAACGAAUGCUAAUACCUGAUACUGUGAGAGAGCUUUGCGUCCCAUUAGCUAGUUGGAGAGGUAACGGCUCACCAAGGCGAUGAUGGGUAGCCGGCCUGAGAGGGUGAUCGGCCACAAGGGGACAGGGACAAGGCCCUAACCCAUACGGGGGGCAGGAGUGGGGAAUGUAGGACAAUGGACAAAAGUCUGAGCCAGCAAUUCUGUGGGCACGAUGAAGUUUUCGGGAUGUAAAGUGCUUUCGGUUGGGAAGCGGUACCAACAGAAGAAGUGACGGCUAAAUACGUGCCAGCAGCCGCGGUAAUAC
rnacentral:rRNA from 1 species